AGCCCGUCAGAGCAACAGGAAGAGACUAACGCGCCGUCUCUCACCGGAAGCCCGCGUCUCCGUCCUCUCAGGGAGAAGGGGGCGAUCGAGAGAAACGGGAGGUUUGCUCCUGAUUUGUGUGUGAUACAGUAAAAACACAAGCGCCAUGUGGAGUGUGGUUGAAACGCAGCAAACGCGGCCUUGUUGCAUAUGUAGUUUGCGCGGCAGUUUUUUUUUUUCCUCCCUUUGUGCGCGUGUUGUGUUGUUGUGUGCGUGGCGGAGUGGGAGCAUGCGUGGAAUGCGUGCGCGAUAUAAAGGCCCUCUCCUCGCGCCACAAUGGUGUCUUUGACAGGCGGGAGAAGGGAAGGCUUUGUUUGGUGACACCACACAGUGUUGUGAAUGCCCGACAUAGCUGCCAUUCCUCUCUGUGUGCCCUCCGCCAGGCCACAGGCUUAUCAGGGAUUCCUCUCCUUUCUAUCUGCCCACACACUCCUCGCCCUGUGUGUGUGUGUGUGUGUGUGUGUGUGUGUGUGUGUGUGUGUGUGUGUGUGUGUGUGUGUGUGUGUGUGUGUGUGUGUGUGUGUGUGUGUGUGUAAGUGAGGCAGAGAGUUUGUCAAGCAGAGUUGCUAACACCAAGGAAAAUACAAAUGAGCUCUGGAGGAGAAUGGACCCCUUGUUCGGUUACAUCUCUCUCCACAAGUGGACCAAUUUGACGGCCACGUCUUCUCUCAAGCAGCUUGCAAGAAUAGAUUAUAUUUAAAAAUGGCUCAACCAAUAGAAAAGCUCCAGGCGUCACCCCCCUUCACUGUGGAUGACCCGUCUGUGUCCUCUGAUGAGCUGAACAACACAAGCUACUGGCGCUAACGACAACAUCAAGAGCUACACACCUUCUAACACGCCGAAUUUAAAUUUGAUCCCCUGUAGAUUUUUAUUGAUAUAAUCCAAUAUAUAAUUUUGUCCUGA